rnacentral:tRNA from 1 species
GUGGAGCAGUGGUCAGCUCGCCGGGCUCAUAACCCGGAGGUCGUGGCGUUAUUUUGUAGGCUCCA